GGAUUAGAUACCCUGGUAGUCCACGCCGUAAACGAUGCACACUAGGUCGGGGAGGUUUUCAUGCCGUCCCGGCCGAAGGAAAACUAUUAAGUGUGCCGCCUGGGGAGUACGGUCGCAAGGCUAAAACUCAAAGGAAUUGACGGGGGCUCACACAAGCGGUGGAGCAUGUUGCUUAAUUCGAGGCAACGCGAAGAACCUUACCUGGGCUUGACAUGCACGGAUUAGCUCUUGGAAACAUGAGUGACGCCCUUUGGGUGGAACGUGCACAGGUGCUGCAUGGCUGUCGUCAGCUCGUGCCG
rnacentral:rRNA from 1 species